GUGGAUUAGAUACCCUGGUAGUCCAUGCCGUAAACGUUGGGCACUAGGUGUGGGACUCACUCAACGGGUUCCGUGCCGUAGCUAACGCAUUAAGUGCCCCGCCUGGGGAGUACGGCCGCAAGGCUAAAACUCAAAGGAAUUGACGGGGGCCCGCACAAGCAGCGGAGCAUGUUGCUUAAUUCGAGGCAACGCGAAGAACCUUACCUGGGUUUGACAUGUAGGGAAAAGCCGCAGAGAUGCGGUGUCCUUUUGGGCCUUACACAGGUGGUGCAUGGCCGUCGUCAACU
rnacentral:rRNA from 1 species